AGAACGAACGCUGGCGGCAUGCCUAACACAUGCAAGUCGAACGAAGCCUUCGGGCUUAGUGGCGCACGGGUGCGUAACGCGUGGGAACCUGCCUUUAGGUUCGGAAUAACUCACCGAAAGGUGUGCUAAUACCGAAUAAUGUCUUCGGACCAAAGAUUUAUCGCCUUUAGAUGGGCCCGCGUUGGAUUAGCUAGUUGGUGGGGUAAAGGCCUACCAAGGCGACGAUCCAUAGCUGGUCUUAGAGGAUGAUCAGCCACACUGGGACUGAGACACGGCCCAGACUCCUACGGGAGGCAGCAGUGGGGAAUAUUGGACAAUGGGCGAAAGCCUGAUCCAGCAAUGCCGCGUGAGUGAUGAAGGCCUUAGGGUUGUAAACCUCUUUCAGCAGGGACGAAGCGAAAGUGACGGUACCUGCAGAAGAAGCACCGGCAACUACGUGCCAGCAGCCGC
rnacentral:rRNA from 1 species